AGUUUGAAGCCAUUGCCUAACAAAUUGAGAAACACGAUGUUUCAAUGGACGAUCUAUUUUUAGUCCAAUGUAGAGAAAAUCAAAUGUUAUAUUGACCUCCUAGGUCACGUGCAGGUGAAUAUAAUGUUCUGUUUUCGAGAUAGUUAGAUUUUAGCCAGUCAGAGAGCUUGGAAUUAAUCAAUCAUAUAAUAAAAAGUAUUAAGAGUGUACAUUGAUUUAAGGUAUAAAUGCUGACCAGAUUUUUGGGGGGUCUGUUAAGGAGUACUUAACUUUAUUAGGUGCUAAUAUGAUUUUACUGUGUGUUAAUGCUAGUUUUAUCUACAUGCUGUAUAAUCAUUUCCAAAUGAAGCAUGUGAAUAUUUGAUAUCAACUGGAUAUUUGAGUGCUGUACAUUGUUAAGCUUAAGGCAUUCAAUCAUUUUCUCAAGUCCUCAACACAAAAAUGCAAUUACAAAGUGAUACAAGGCCCUGUUGUUGUACACAUACAAUAAAUAUAUAUGCCUAUGAUAAUUUCUUGCUAAAUGCAUGAUAAAGAUUUGAAGAUGAUUAGAUACUGGUAAAAAAUGGUGUAGAAUUUGGGGGGGGGGGGGGGUUUAGGUACUUGAACCCUAAUAAUCUUUCUUGUACCAUAAUCAUUUCAAACAAGAAAGGUUUGUUUGUACAACGUAUUGUGAUGUAAGGUAGAUGUUGGACUGUAUGGAUGAAUUUAAUUAGGAAUGUAUAAAACUAAAAAAAAUAUUAUCAAGAGUACACACAAUGAAAUGUUUAUGUGAAAAUGUUGCUUAUGCUUGACUGUUUGUCAUUGGAGAAUCAUAGUUGUCCGUAUGUUUGUUGCAGAGUUUUAUUAAAUUGGCUGACCAGACAGAGUGUACAUGUACUGGUGGAUAGUUUAUAAGGAGAAGUUGCAUUCAUUGCUGUUUGUGUUAUGGCUUUAUAAUUAAGAAAAAUAAAACUUUAAAAUGAU
rnacentral:misc_RNA from 1 species